rnacentral:lncRNA from 1 species
ACUGCUGGCCCCUGCAUGGGGACAUUGGGGACAGUGAACUGCUGGCCCCUGUAUGGGGACAUUGGGGACAGUGAACUGCUGGCCCCUGCAUGGGGACACGGGGACAUUGGGGACAGUGAACUGCUGGCCCCUGCAUGGGGACAUUGGGGACAGUGAACUGCUGGCCCCUGCAUGGGGACACACAUGGGGACAUGGGGACAGUGAACUGCUGGCCCCUGCAUGGGGACACGGGGACAUGGGGACAUUGGGGACAGUGAACUGCUGGCCCCUGCAUGGGGACACGGGGACAUGGGGACAUGGGGACAGUGAACUGCUGGCCCCUGCAUGGGGACAUUGGGGACAGUGAACCGCUGGCCCCUGCAUGGGGACACACAUGGGGACAUUGGGGACAUUGGGGACAUCAGGGGACAUCAGGGGACAUCAGGGACAGUGAACUGCUGGCCCCUGCAUGGGGACACGGGGACAUGGGGACAGCAGGGACACUGGAGACACUGGGACACUGGACACCAGUGAGAAGUCCUUGGUGACACAGGACAGAGACACCAGGGACAGGACAGGGGACACAGGGGACACAGGAGAGGGGACACAGGGGACACAGGGGACACAGGGGACACAGGCAAGAGCCUGGGACAUUCCCAGCCCUGGAUCCAGGAUUGUCCCCAGGAUUGUCCCCCCAGAUUGUUCCCUGGGAUUGUCCCCCCAGGACUGUCCCCAGGAUUGUCCCCAGCCUGCCCCAGGAUUGUCCCCAGGAUUGUCCCCAUUGUGUCCCCACUGUGUCCCAGCCUGUCCCCAUUGUGUCCCUCCCUGUCCCCCCCCGUCCCC